CCAGCUGUGGCCUAAACAACUGAUACAAAGCUGACAGUUCAAAAAGACUUUACCAAAGGUUGAUGGGUUACAAAAGAGAAAUAAAAAGAUAUAGCAUAAUUUGAGUACUCCUAAUCAGAUAGAAGUGAUCUCUGGAGUUCACAGGCCCCAUCCUUCCCUACAUGGAAUUCCGCAGAAAUGGAAAGGCCUCUCCUGGGUCCUUUCUUCUGAUUUCUAGCCUGCCCCCAAAGAGGGCAGAAAUUAGCUUAAUAUACACCAUUUGGGAGCCCCUGACACCUAAGCCGAUGAGAGCACCUCAAUUCCCCAUCCUGCCACAGAUCUGGAUUCUUACGUGAUGGCAUUUUCCCUUCAGGACUGAUUCUGGGGGCGAUCUUGCCAGGGCAGUCCUUGCCUCAGCCUACUAAAGCAGGGGCCACCAAAUGCACAGGACAAAAGACUGUGUUGGAAAAUAUCAAGAAUAGAGAAAGAACAAGAAGAUUUACUUGAUGUUGAGAAGUGGCUGGAAGGAUUCAGGAACUUGAGAGAAGAAUUUGAAAAAUAUGACCCAGAAAAAACAGCAUGACCUUCAGUCUUAAUACCUGACCUGGUUUUGAAUCAUAAGGAACAAACUCUGGAGAUUUCCAGCCCGAAGUGAUGUCAAGCUUGACGGUGUGUUCCAACCCUGAGGGAUUAUUUUUUCUGCUCUCCAACAGACAGAGACAGGAAAGGAAAUUCCAAACCUCACCUGAGACUGGGCCCUGUGCUAUAUCAUGCUUAUCCCUUGGUUGAUGUGAAAGAAUGACUAAAACCUGCUCUGGGAGGGACCUUUGCUUGAUGUUUUCAGUUUUGUUUAUGACUGGAAGGUAGGAGCUCUUCUCUAAGUGUGAGGUUACAGUACAUUCUGGCAAUCUUUCUAACAGAAACACAUCAUUUUCCCUGUUAGGAUUUGAGGGAGAAGAGCCUCCCCAGUGCUUUCCUGUGAUUCUUCCACAGAGUCCUCUAAAACAUGGUGAAAAUGACUUCAGGAAUUUUUGUUAAAUGGGAGACUGCUUCAUAGUUUGAACUACUUUAUGACUUUGUGAGUUUGUAUUACUGAUUUGAUACUUAGUGGA